rnacentral:rRNA from 1 species
AGUGAACGCUGGCGGUAGGCCUAACACAUGCAAGUCGAACGGCAGCACAGUAAGAGCUUGCUCUUACGGGUGGCGAGUGGCGGACGGGUGAGGAAUGCAUCGGAAUCUACUUUUUCUUGGGGGAUAACGUAGGGACACUUACGCUAAUACCGCAUACGUCCUACGGCUUGAAUCAGGGGAUCUUCGGACCUUGCGCGAUUGUAUUAGCCGAUGUCGGAUUAGCUAGUUGGCGGGGUAAAGGCCCACCAAGGCGACGAUCCGUAGCUGGUCUGAGAGGAUGAUCAGCCACACUGGAACUGAGACACGGUCCAGACUCCUACGGGAGGCAGCAGUGGGGAAUAUUGGACAAUGGGCGCAAGCCUGAUCCAGCCAUACCGCGUGAGUGAAGAAGGCCUUCGGGUUGUAAAGCCCUUUUGUUGGGAAAGAAAAGCAGCAGGUUAAUACCCCGCUGUCUUGACGGUACCCAAAGAAUAAGCACCGGCUAACUUCGUG